rnacentral:lncRNA from 1 species
GGUUGGAGAGCAAAGGAAUGUUUCCCCCCUAAGUCUCCCUCGGGAGAAAAUCCAUGUUCUAUUUAGGAUGAUAUCUCCUAAUAUUGCAUGGAUUUUUCAAUAAGGUUGGCCUCAUAAGCCUUCCUUUUAGCAACUACAAACUUUAUAAUAUAAAGCUCAGCCUUGCUACUUUCUAAACUUUGAUGGAGUGAAGCCAGUUCUUCCUAUGCUUGGGCAUUU